rnacentral:rRNA from 1 species
CCCUAGUAACGGCGAGUGAAGCGGCAACAGCUCAAAUUUGAAAUCUGGCCCUCGGGUCCGAAUUGUAAUUUGUAGAGGAUGCUUUUGGUGAGGUGCCUUCCGAGUUCCCUGGAACGGGACGCCAUAGAGGGUGAGAGCCCCGUCUGGUUGGACACCGAUCCUCUGUAAAGCUCCUUCGACGAGUCGAGUAGUUUGGGAAUGCUGCUCUAAAUGGGAGGUAUAUGUCUUCUAAAGCUAAAUAUUGGCCAGAGACCGAUAGCGCACAAGUAGAGUGAUCGAAAGAUGAAAAGCACUUUGAAAAGAGAGUUAAAAAGUACGUGAAAUUGUUGAAAGGGAAGCGCUCAUGACCAGACUUGGGCUUGGUUGAUCAUCCAGGGUUCUCCCUGGUGCACUCUUCCAGUCCAGGCCAGCAUCAGUUCGCUGUGGGGGAUAAAGGCUUCGGGAAUGUGGCUCCUCCGGGAGUGUUAUAGCCCGUUGUGUCAUACCCUGUGGUGGACUGAGGUUCGCGCAUCUGCAAGGAUGCUGGCGUAAUGGUCAUCAGCGACCCGUCUUGAAACACGGACCAAGGAGUCGUCUUCGUAUGCGAGUGUUCGGGUGUUAAACCCCUACGCGUAAUGAAAGUGAACGCAGGUGAGAGCUUCGGCGCAUCAUCGACCGAUCCUGAUGUUCUCGGAUGGAUUUGAGUAAGAGCAUACGGGGCCGGACCCGAAAGAAGGUGAACUAUGCCUGUAUAGGGUGAAGCCAGAGGAAACUCUGGUGGAGGCUCGCAGCGGUUCUGACGUGCAAAUCGAUCGUCAAAUAUGGGCAUGGGGGCGAAAGACUAAUCGAACCUUCUAGUAGCUGGUUUCCGCCGAAGUUUCCCUCAGGAUAGCAGUGUUGAACUCAGUUUUAUGAGGUAAAGCGAAUGAUUAGGGACUCGGGGGCGCUAUUUAGCCUUCAUCCAUUCUCAAACUUUAAAUAUGUAAG